rnacentral:rRNA from 1 species
AUUGAACGCUGGCGGCAGGCCUAACACAUGCAAGUCGGGCGAGCGCUGGACGGGUGAGUAAUGUAUCUGGAUCUGUCUGAUGGCGGGGGCUAACUACUGGAAACGGUAGCUCUUACCGCAUACCAUCAGAUAAACCCAUAUGGGAUUAGCUUGUUGGUUAGGUAACGGCUCACCUAGGCGACGAUCCCUAGCUGGUCUGAGAGGAUGAUCAGCCACACUGGGACUGAGACACGGCCCAGACUCCUACGGGAGGCAGCAGUGGGGAAUAUUGCACAAUGGGCGCAACCCGGAUGCAGCCAUGCCGCGUGUAUGAAGAAGGCCUUCGGGUUGUAAAGUACUUUCAGUCGGGAGGCGUUACCGACAGAAGAAGCACCGGCUAACUCCGUGCCAGCAGCCGCGGUAAUUC